GCGGAUCCGCGGCCGCUGCAGAGUUUGAUCCUGGCUCAGGACGAACGCUGGCGGCGUGCCUAACACAUGCAAGUCGAACGGGGUUUAAGAGGAAGCUUGCGAAUCUUAAACCUAGUGGCGCACGGGUGAGUAACGCGUGGAUAACCUGCCUGGUAGACCGGGAUAACAGCUGGAAACGGCUGCUAAUACCGGAUACGCUCUGGAUGUUGCAUGACAUACAGAGGAAAGAUUUAUCGCUAUCAGAUGGGUCCGCGUCCCAUUAGCUAGUUGGCGGUGUAAGAGACCACCAAGGCGACGAUGGGGAGCUGGCCUGAGAGGGCGACCGGCCACACUGGGACUGAGACACGGCCCAGACUCCUACGGGAGGCAGCAGUGGGGAAUCUUCCGCAAUGGGCGAAAGCUAGACGGAGCAACGCCGCGUGAGGGAAGAAGGCCUUCGGGUUGUAAACCUCUGUCUUCAAGGAAGGAGAGAUGACGGUACUUGGAGAGGAAGCCCCGGCUAACUACGUGCCAGCAGCCGCGGUAAAACGUAGGGGGCGAGCGUUGUCCGGAAUUACUUGGACGUAAAGGGCGCGUAGGUGGUUCAUUAAGUUAGAGGUGAAAGACCGCAGCUUAACUGGGGGAAUG
rnacentral:rRNA from 1 species